UUUUUCGGUGUGCACACAGAUUGGAGCGGCUUGCGGCAACAUGUGAGCGACGACAGGGUAAAAAAGCUUCAGUUAAUACAUCUGUAGCUCGGAAAUAUGUGCGUUUUGUGCCGCACCAGGUUUUUGAAAUGGCGGAUAGUGGCGUUGAAAAUAUUGCGGUCAUCGAAUAAGCAGGAUAGCGGCGUUCCUGCCUUCAUUCUUCACUUACGGGACAUUUAGGAGUUUGUGUACACGCGAAGAUUCCGUCACUCAAGCCGUUUUUUCAGUGACUUUACGACGUGGAAGCAUCAGUCGGAAGACACGAAUGCCGUUGCCUUGUUAGUGGGAUGGAACCCAGGAAACGCUACCGCCAGUAUUUUGAACCGAGAAGCAGUGCAGGCAUCCCAAGACAAACCCGCUACAAUCAUCGGCGUAACCUAUCAGAAAACGUUUCGGAAGUUGUGGCACGCCUCUCGACAGCGACACUCAAGCUGACGCAGACCAUACUGGCUAUUUGUCACCUGUAAGCUCUUGCAGUGGAGAGGACUGGAAUGCUGAAGACGAGCCAAACACAGCUCUGGAAACAUCAAUGCUGAGGCACAUGAUCAUGGUGACACACACACUGAUGAAAACGAAUGUGAGAGUGAUGAAAGUAGCGACUGUGCUGAAGUGGAUGGGACUGAAGACAUAAUUGAUUUGGAUGGGACUUUGCCAAAUCUGAGCUCAAACAACAAAAGCUCAAGCAGUGCUCCUAAUUCUUGCUUAUGCAGUGUCCUCGGGCCUGACGUGGACACAGUUGGAUGGCCUCCUCAAAUUGAUAAAUGCUCUAUUUGGAGAGCAGGUCCUAGUGUUCUGGACUUCCAUUACUUUUGUGGAGAAUGUCAAACCUACCUGAAAAAGCUAAGAGGAAGAAGAAAACAUGGCAACCUGCAGUGUGCGCAGUGCGAAAGAAACUAUGCAGUAGAAGCUCUCACACGUGCUGGUAACUUCUUCAUAACCUUUGACAUACACACACAACUGAAGGACAUAUUUAAAGGUGCAAGUAACAUGCUUUACACAUCACUACAGAAGCUUCGACAACUAGGCACACGCAGUGGUUUCUCCGACAUCACAGAUGGUGCACUGUGUUGCAGGCUUCGUGAAAAACUAAACAUGUCUUGGUCUGAUAUAACAUUAACACUGAACACUGAUGGGUCCCCCCGUUUUCAACUCAAGCAAAUUUUCAAUAUGGCCUGUUGAGAUGAUGGUGAACGAGCUACCACCGCUUUAUUGAUGGAAGCACGUUCUCGUGUCUGCUUUAUGGUUCGCGAAAGAACACCCCCCAAUGCACCUUUUUCUGGAUGCUUUUGUGAGCGAACUAUCUAAAAUUAAAACUGUAUUCUGGAGGCAUGGAAAUGAAGUUGUGAAGAGCAAUGUGUAUCCACUCUGCUGGUGUGUCGACUCCCCUGCAAGAGCUGCCAUAUUAAAUCAGAAACAGUUCAACGGAUACUAUGGAUGUACGUGGUGCUUACACGAGGGAGUCCUAGUGAAUGAUGGACCUUGUCCCUAGGAGUACGUCGACCGUGUGACAAAAAGGCACUGCAGCCUUGCGACAAUGGGAUGACGUCACGGCCAAUGAGCAAGGCAAGCAGAGGGCGCAGGAAUUCACCUCCCUCUUAGCCUCUCACAGGUACGGUCGUGUUACUUCUCACACGUGGUCGCCGCAAGUGGAACUAGGAGCGCGCGCGCGCGCAUGCGUAGCACCCGUAGACGAGCCCCUGCGUCAAUCGAGCGCUGGCUCUCGCGGGGAGAAGACGUGCGGUCGGUCGCUCCGCCGUCAGCGCGCCGCAUCAGUUGAGCCCUGGCUGUCAAUGAGAGCGGAUGCCCCGUCGCCACGGGGGAAAGGUGAGUGAUUUGCCGUAGCGGUUAGGCAUUUUCCCUAUGUGUCUGCUCUUGACGGACUUCUACAUAUCUCUUCGCUCGCCUUAAGCCCUUUCCCCACAUGACCAGUGUAUGCACUGCCACGUGUUUAGAGUUUAUUAGCAGUGUCUUGUUGCAUUUUUACCAGCAGCUAGUACUUUUUUGUGUUCCAGGUAAACCGACAUGAGGCAAAACACUGCGGUUAGGCGUAAGCACCCGGAUGCCUAGCUCAGCGCUCAUCUUAAGCCAUUUCCCUCCCGAUGAGCAGCGUUUUGCACGUGAUAUCACAUGUUUAGACUUGUUUAGCAGUGCCUUUCUUGUUGCCAUUUUUACCCGCCACUAGUACUCUGUUGUUCUCUCUCUCUCUUUCACGCAUACCGACGUGAAGGUGGGGCCGUCUGGUGUGAUGCCUGGCAACUUGCUUGUCACCUGUCUCUGCAACCGUCGUGCCCAACGAUGUCCAGCCGCCCGCACCGGAGUGAUUUUUGCAAGAUGGCCUCAUUGAUUUUCAAAUAAAUUAUUUCUCUCUA